UGCAUUACAAGUAAAAGUGACAAUGUCAUUGACAUUUACAAAACCACCUUUGUUAUCAACAAUCUCAAGACUGGGUGGGCCUUAAACACAUAUUUUCCCUUGUGCAAUAUGAAUUUUUUUGCAAUGAAGAUCAUUGUCAGUAUUAGCAUAAUGACCUACAAUUAAAUUUUGUUCUGAUGAAAAUAGCACGUAUACUGAAAUUUAGUUUUUGACAGCAUAUUUUUUGAUGCCCAAACUUUGUGGCUUAUACAUUACAUAUGCUGGGGGUCUUCUUAUUUGUAAUUUAUUAGUUUUUAAUAAGCAACAGAAGCAAGAAAUCAAACCGCUUUAUCUUAAAAUUUAUAAACACACACACAUGCUAGACAUAGAUGGCAAUGUUAUAGCCAGAUAAACGACUUUAUCUUGGUGGCAUAUUAAAAAAAAAAAAAAAAAAAUUGGAAUACAAAUGCAUGUACAUGAUCAACACAUGUAAGAUGUAGUGAUAGUGCAGAUUACAAAUUGGGAAAAAAGGAUUAAUCAUUAGCAACAUUUGGUCCAAAACAUCUGUCUGGCCCUGGGUCGUUCUUGUCGUCAAGUCCUGUAUUAGAUCAUAAAAGGAGUUAGUCAGAACUGGACUAGCUAAGUCACUCUAUCACCGUAUUCUUCCUGCAUGAGAUGUAAAAUAACCUAGUUAAAAUGAGAGUUGGGCAAUAAUGGACUGGUGUGCUUUUCAUAUAUAAAGCACACAAGGUCAUGAGCUCCAGUGUUACUGUGAGAUUACUUUCACACACAGUUAUGGGGUGGAUAGAGAAUCUCCUGAUUUGUUCUUUCUUUGUGUCAAUUUACCUGCUGAAACAGGCUGAAUGUGGUCCUGUGGAGGUAGAAUCAGCUAGGAGUGUGGAAAAAGAUGCUCCGAUUGUGGUAUGUUUCCGACAUGCUUUUUUCAGAAAUGACUUCUUGCUGUCAUACUAUGAUUUCAAAUAGGGUCUAUACUUGAAUCAGUAUACAAAUAAACAGUUUAAAAGAUUUUUAAAUGUCUUUUAU
ensembl:lncRNA